rnacentral:rRNA from 1 species
AAUGAACGCUGGCGGCGUGCUUUACACAUGCAAGUCGAGCGAGGCGUCCCGCAAGGGACAGUCGAGCGGCGAACGGGUGAGUAACGCGUGGAUGACCUGCCCUUUAGUGGGGAAUAACCCGGGGAAACUCGGGCUAAUACCGCAUAAGACCGAGAGGUGAAAGCGGGGUCGCAAGAUCUCGUGCUGAAGGAGGGGUCCGCGUUCGAUUAGCUAGUUGGUAGGGUAAUGGCCUACCAAGGCGACGAUCGAUAGCCGGCCUGAGAGGGUGAUCGGCCACACUGGAACUGAGACACGGUCCAGACUCCUACGGGAGGCAGCAGUGGGGAAUUUUGCGCAAUGGGCUAACGCCUGACGCAGCAACGCCGCGUGGAGGAUGAAGGUCUUUGGAUUGUAAACUCCUGUCAGCAGGGAAAAAGCGACCUGACCUAAUACGUCAGGGAGUUGAUUGUACCUGCAGAGGAAGCCCCGGCUAACUCUGUGCCAGCAGCCGCGGUAAUACAGAGGGGGCAAGCGUUAUUCGGAAUUAUUGGGCGUAAAGGGCGCGUAGGCGGCUUUUCAAGUGGCGGGUGAAAUCCCUCGGCUUAACCGAGGAACUGCCUGCCAGACUGGAAGGCUUGAGACCGGGAGAGGUGAGUGGAAUUCCCAGUGUAGCGGUGAAAUGCGUAGAUAUUGGGAGGAACACCAGUGGCGAAGGCGGCUCACUGGACCGGAACUGACGCUGAGGCGCGAAAGCGUGGGGAGCAAACAGGAUUAGAUACCCUGGUAGUCCACGCCGUAAACGAU